rnacentral:lncRNA from 1 species
CAAAUGAACGUGUAUAGCUGUAUUUACACCUUCCUGGGAAGAGAGAAGUUCAAACACUAGAAGCAUCCUUUGAAGCAGUGCUGUCAAGGGCCAUGCCCCUGACCCUAAUCCAAGCUUGUCUAUAGUCUCCAAAAGAAUCUUUAAGGGUGAAUCUGUUAUCGAAGGCCCUGAGGACAGGCAGACAUUUGUUGGGCCCAGUGGCUUGCCAAAGAUUAGCCCCAAAGCAACAGCAGGGGAGGCCCAAGGGAAGAAGAGGACAAUGGAGUUGCUUAACAAGGCUCAAAAGCAAGAAGAAAAAGUCUCAAACCUACUAGAUAUCAGACAGCUCCCGAAGCAAGAGGUGUUUAUUAACAACACACACCCAUGCAAGAAACAUCUGAAACAGCAACCAAUGAGCCUUGAGGAAUGGAGGAGGGGCCGUCUAGGGGGAGACAACACAGGACUCAUAAUAUCACAAGAACCUUUCAGGUGCUGUGAAAGUCUUGCCCUAGAAGAAAACACCUUUUUGAAGGGCAAGAAGAUCAAGCCCUAUUGUAGGCAUUCAGACCAGAUAGCAUGUCCGCUAUUAGUCGAAGAGCAGGGGCCUGGAGAAGGGCAGAAGCCAGUGUCUUCAGGCCAACAGGGACUGAAAGCCACAAAAACAUCCAAAGGAAAGAUGUCAACUGUUGCCAAUGUCAAUGCCAAUGUCAACUGUUGGAAGUAACUUCCCUAGAGGCAGAAGCCAGCCUGGAGGUCCUCAAGAGGAGGAGGAGGAUGCAGGCUAUGGAGAUGUCCAAAAAACCUCAGGACAGAGGACUUGGUCGAGAAAAAGCAGUCUUCCUAAGCAGAGAGAAAGUAAAACCAUCUUCUCAUGACAUGCAUCUGAGCCCUGCUGAAAGAAGCUUUAAACCUAAAUCAAUGCCAAAGGCAGAAGACUGGGACCACUCAGUCCAGGGAACUCCAGUAGUGCUUACUGUUCGGGACCACAGCAAUGUCUCACAGGCUCAGAAACAUAUGGGCUGUGCUGAAAUAUUUCAUUCCAGAGAUGGGCGAUGUACUUUAUUGAAGAGAGGAGGAGCCUAGAGAGAGUAGAGACUUUCUCUGCAUCCUGCUCUCUUAAAUUCUAAUGUUGGAUUGUUUGAAACAGGGAAGGAGACCUGAACCCAUGAUAUAAGGAUGUAUGCUGAGAGGUACAGAUCAAGGUUCAUCCACCUAUGCGUAGCUAUCCAAUUCAGACAUUAUGUGUCAUAGAUACUGUCUCUUCAAUAUGCACUGUUGGCAUCAUUGUGAAAAAUCUGGUGGCUAUAGGAGUGUGGGCUUAUAUCUGGGUCCUCUUUUAAAAUAUGACUUUAGUUUCAUGGGUUUAUAUCUGAAUCCUCUAUUCUAUUCUAUUGAGCUGCUGCAUGUUUCUGUGCUAGUACCAUGCUGUUUGGAUCACUAUGUCUCUGUAGUAUACUACAGUUUUAGGCCAGGUGACUGAGGCACCCAUUGUUCCACAUGAGAAUCGGACAGAGUUCCAAGAGUCCACUGGCAUCAACAUCCCGUGUAUUCCAUGUGAAAGCAAGAAUUGAGGAUAAGACAACUUUAGGAAACAUCAAUGAGGAGAACAAAAUAGAGUCUUGUCAAGUGUGACGAGAUUAUCUGAUGAUUGGAUGGAAAUCGUACUGCACUGUAGGAUUAGCAGCAUCAGACAAUGGGGGACUAGACUACUCAGUUGUUGGUGACAUAUGAGGCAGAAUACCUGGGGCCCUGGGCUUCUCUCUUGGGGGAGCUCCCCUAUGGUGGUGUUUUAGGACCCACUAAGGAACAAAUUGCUGAAGGAAAUCUAAGUAGAGAUAUAGUAUUCUUCAGGAGAAAUAUUUUUGUUGGAUCUCAAUCCACCAAGUUCCAGGCAGUUGAGCUGCUACAGUAAUUUCCUGGACACUCCAGAUCCUUGGAUAUUGACCACCUUUACAGGGAAAAAAAAGAAUGAUGUGUUCUGUAAGCAUUGAGCAAGGCAUAGAAAAUGUAAUGUCUUAAAUGAAACUGUUUCAGAUCUGCACACAAAUGUGGACAUUUUAAGUGCAUCCCUCUGCUGAUUCAAUAUUAUGAAAACAUCUUUUACAUUCUGAGAGACAGGAACUUUUGCUGGAUCUUAGAGACAGAGUUAAUAACACAUGUUGAUGUCCUGUUAUACUUAAAUCUCUAUCCUACUCUGUACUCAGGAUUUGUUUAAUUUGCCUUUAAGAGAACAAUGUAACACUUGGGUGGUGGUGGUACAUAGCUUUAAUCCCAGCACUCUAGAGGCAGAGACAGGCUUGAGGCCAACCCGGUCUACAGCCAAAGCUACACAGAGAAACCCUGUCUUAACACAACACACAUACACAUACACCACACACACACACACACACCCCAAAGAAACACACAAACAAGAACAAUGUAACAGCCAUCUUUACUUGCCUCAGGUUUCCCAUGUCAUCAGGUUUGUGAUAUUAAGCUGAAGCUCUCUAGGAGGAACUGUGGACAAGUGCUACUGAGAGAACAUGGCUGACAUGCGGGUUCCGUGUAGCAGUGCCUUCACAGCAUCAGAGCUGCUGUUGAAAUGUAAAG